rnacentral:tRNA from 1 species
GUGGUUGUAGCUCAAUGGCAGAGCGCCUCCCUGUGAAGGAGGAUGUUGUGGGUUCAAGUCCCACCAACCACC